rnacentral:rRNA from 1 species
GACGAACGCUGGCGGCGUGCCUAAUACAUGCAAGUCGAACGCAGUGGGGACGGGUGAGUAACACGUGGGUAACCUCCCAUCAGAGGGGAUAACACUUGGAAACAGGUGCUAAACCGAUACUGAUGGAUGGACCCGCGGUGCAUUAGCUAGUUGGUGGGGUAACGGCUCACCAAGGCUACGAUGCAUAGCCGCCCUGAGAGGUUGACCGGCCAAAAGGGGACUGAGAAACGGCCCAGACUCCUACGGGAGGCAGCAGUGGGGAAUCUUCGGCAAUGGACGAAAGUCUGACCGAGCAACGCCGCGUGAGUGAAGAAGGUUUUCGGAUCGUAAAACUCUGUUGUUAGAGAAGCGGUAUCUAACCAGAAAGCCACGGCUAACUACGUGCCAGCCGCCGCGGUAAUAC